CUACGGGAUGCAGCAGUGAGGAAUAUUGCACAAUGGGGGGAACCCUGAUGCAGCAACGCCGCGUGGAGGAUGACGCAUUUCGGUGUGUAAACUCCUUUUAUAUGUCAAGAAAAUGACGGUAGCAUAUGAAUAAGCACCGGCUAACUCCGUGCCAGCAGCCGCGGUAAUAGGGAGGGUGCAAGCGUUACUCGGAAUCACUGGGCGUAAAGGACGCGUAGGCGGGUUGGAAAGUCAGGUGUGAAAUCCUACAGCUUAACUGUAGAACUGCACUUGAAACUUCUAAUCUAGAGUAUGGGAGGGGGAGAUGGAAUUAGUGGUGUAGGGGUAAAAUCCGUAGAUAUCACUAGGAAUACCUAAAGCGAAGGCGAUCUCCUGGAACAUUACUGACGCUAAGGCGUGAAAGCGUGGGGAGCAAACAGGAUUAGAUACCCUAGUAGUC
rnacentral:rRNA from 1 species